UAGGGAAUCUUCCGCAAUGGACGCAAGUCUGACGGAGCAACGCCGCGUGAGUGAAGAAGGAUUUCGGUUCGUAAAACUCUGUUGUUAGAGAAGAACAGCGCAUAGAGUAACUGUUAUGCGUGUGACGGUAUCUAACCAGAAAGCCACGGCUAACUACGUGCCAGCAGCCGCGGUAAUACGUAGGUGGCAAGCGUUGUCCGGAUUUAGUGGGCGUAAAGCGAGCGCAGGCGGUCAAUUAAGUCUGAUGUGAAAGCCCCCGGCUCAACCGGGGAGGGUCAUUGGAAACUGGUUGACUUGAGUGCAGAAGAGGAGAGUGGAAUUCCAUGUGUAGCGGUGAAAGGCGUAGAUAUAUGGAGGAACACCAGUGGCGAAGGCGACUCUCUGGUCUGUAACUGACGCUGAGGUUCGAAAGCGUGGGUAGCAAACAGG
rnacentral:rRNA from 1 species